rnacentral:rRNA from 1 species
AAACAUGUCUUUUUGAGUUGAAUUUAAGGUCUGACCUGCCCACUGAAUAAUUUUAAAUGGCCGCAGUAUUUUGACUGUGCAAAGGUAGCAUAAUCAUUAGUCUUUUAAUUGAAGGCUGGUAUGAAUGGUUGGACGAAGUAUAAUCUGUUUCAUAUAAAUUUGUAAUAGAAUUUUAUUUUUUAGUAAAAAAGCUAAAAUUUUAUUGAAAGACGAGAAGACCCUAUAAAUCUUUAUAUUUAAUAUUAUUAUAAUUUUUUGGAUUUAUUUUAUUUUUAUAAUAUUGAAUAUUUUGUUGGGGUGAUAUUAAAAUUAAAUUAACUUUUAAUUAUUUAAGAUCAUUAAUUUAUGAAUUGUUGAUCCAAUAUUUAUUGAUUAUAAGAUUAAGUUACUUUAGGGAUAACAGCGUAAUUUUUUUUGAGAGUUCAUAUUGACAAAAAAGUUUGCGACCUCGAUGUUGGAUUAAGGUAUAAUUUUGGGUGUAGCUGUUCAAGUAUUAAGUCUGUUCGACUUUUAAAUCCUUACAUGAUC